CAGUCGCCGCGGUAAUACAGAGGGUGCGAGCGUUAAUCGGAUUUACUGGGCGUAAAGCGUGCGUAGGCGGCUUUUUAAGUCGGAUGUGAAAUCCCUGAGCUUAACUUAGGAAUUGCAUUCGAUACUGGGAAGCUAGAGUAUGGGAGAGGAUGGUAGAAUUCCAGGUGUAGCGGUGAAAUGCGUAGAGAUCUGGAGGAAUACCGAUGGCGAAGGCAGCCAUCUGGCCUAAUACUGACGCUGAGGUACGAAAGCGUGGGGAGCAAACAGGAUUAGAUACCCGCGUAGUCCCUGUCUCUUAUAU
rnacentral:rRNA from 1 species